UCCGUAGGUGAACCUGCGGGCCGCGGUCCUCCGCGGCCGCCCCCCUCUCCCCGGGGGGGUGGCCAGCGCCCGCCAGAGGACCAUCAAACUCCAGUCAGUAAACGAUGCAGUCUGAAAAACAUUUAAUAAACUAAAACUUUCAACAACGGAUCUCUUGGUUCUGGCAUCGAUGAAGAACGCAGCGAAAUGCGAUAAGUAAUGUGAAUUGCAGAAUUCAGUGAAUCAUCGAAUCUUUGAACGCACAUUGCGCCCUUUGGUAUUCCGAAGGGCAUGCCUGUUCGAGCGUCAUUACAACCCUCAAGCUCUGCUUGGUAUUGGGCACCGUCCUUUGCGGGCGCGCCUCAAAGACCUCGGCGGUGGCGUCUUGCCUCAAGCGUAGUAGAACAUACAUCUCGCUUCGGAGCGCAGGGCGUCGCCCGCCGGACGAACCUUCUGAACUUUUCUCAAGGUUGACCUCGGAUCAGGUAGGGAUACCCGCUGAACUUAAGCAUAUCAAUAAGCGGAGGA
rnacentral:rRNA from 1 species